AGAUCAAAAUAAUUGAUGAUUUACGAACAUUAUGUUGCGCAACAAAUAAAAAGAAAAAGCAAUUCGCUCUAGUCGAUAGAGAAGUUAUUGAGAAUCAAAGGGAAAAUGAAUGGUGCGUCCGAGUAGACUCGAACUACCGACCCCCACCA
rnacentral:antisense_RNA from 1 species